rnacentral:lncRNA from 1 species
AUGCUGGAGGAAGGAGCCAUGAGCAUCCUGGUGGUGAAGACCAUCCUGCCCCUGCUGCUCCUUGCCUGGCCGUCCGCUGGACUCGCUCACCAGUGCUCACACAAGAUUUCCGUGUCCUUAGGGUCAAAUCUCACCUUUCACUGUCUACCAAACAGCCCUGACAGGGAGGUGGUGUGGUGUAACAACUUAAACAAGAGGAUAGUACAGGAAGACACAGGGACUGACCUACACCAGGAAAAUGGUUCUUACAACCUCACCUUUACAAGCGUGAAUGAAAAGCAUGCUGGAAAUUACACGUGCAAGAUGAAAGCCUCACGCUGUGUGAGUGCUAAAAACAAGAACUGCCCAUGCAAGAGCCACAAGGAGUCAGACUUAUCUGUCCAACAAAAAACUUCAACCAUCAUCAUGCUGUGCAGGUUCAUGGUCUGGCAAGAGAAUAAGACCAUGCAUGUGAGGUGGUGGACAUGUCCAGAGUCUCCUGAUGACCCCUUGGAGCACAGCAAGGCACAUCACAGUGACAGCCACGGCAGCAUGGAUGCAGCCAGCGCAGAGCCCAUUGUGUGUACCGUGUCAAGCAGAAGCUUCACAGGCACUGAAAAUGCCACCCAAGGGAUGGUUCCCAGCUCUGACCCCAAGAUUUCUCCGACCCGUGAGCCUCAGACCCGGGAAGGUCUCGUAGCAAUCAUCUACCUGUACGCCAUCCCCGGGUUAGUGGUUGUGACUCUUUUCUUCCUGCUUUGUAUUUUGGUGUGCCUGUGCAGAAGAAACCAAAGGCAUGCUAAAGGUAACUCCUGAAAGCAAGCAUGCAGCAGAGAUGAAUCAGCUCAGCACG